UACGGACUGAGAUAAUGGUUAACAGAGACAAACGGGGGCAUUUGUAUGGCCCCGUGAGAGGUGAAAUUCUUGGACCGUGGCCAGACAAACUACAGCGAAAGCAUUUGCCAAGAAUGUCUUCAUUAAUCAAGAACGAAAGUCAGAGGUUCGAAGGCGAUCAGAUACCGCCCUAGUUCUGACCGUAAACGAUGCCAACUAGCGAUCCGCCGAUGGAGUUUCAUUGCCUUGGUGGGGAGCUUCCCGGAAACGAAAGUCUUCCGGUUCCGGGGGAAGUAUGGUUGCAAAGCUGAAACUUAAAGGAAUUGACGGAAGGGCACCACCAGGAGUGGAGCCUGCGGCUUAAUUUGACUCAACACGGGGAAACUCACCCGGCCCGGACACUGUGAGGAUUGACAGAUUGAUAGCUUUUUCAUGAUUCAGUGGAUGGUGGUGCAUGGCCGUUCUUAGUUCGUGGAGUGAUUUGUCUGGUUUAUUCCGAUAACGAGCGAGACUCUAACCUACUAAAUAGCUGAUGCAUAUUUUACGUGUAUUCGGCUUCUUAGAGGGAUUUGCGGCUUUCAGCCGAAAGAAAUUGAGCAAUAACAGGUCUGUGAUGCCCUUAGAUGUCCGGGGCUGCACGCGCGCUACACUGGCAAAAUCAACGUGCUUGUCCUACCCCGAAAGGGGUGGGUAAACCAUUGAAAAUUUGCCGUGAUUGGGAUCGGAAAUUGCAAUUAUUUUCCGUGAACGAGGAAUUCCAAGUAAGUGCGAGUCAUCAGCUCGCGUUGAUUACGUCCCUGCCCUUUGUACACACCGCCCGUCGCUGCCCGGGACUGAGCCAUUUCGAGAAACUUGGAGACUGUUGAUCUAAUUUUUUUAAGUUACUUUGAUGGAAACCAAUUUAAUCGCAGUGGCUUGAACC
rnacentral:rRNA from 1 species